rnacentral:tRNA from 1 species
GACCUCGUGGAGCAAUAGUAGCGUGUCUGACUCCAGAUCAGAAGGUGCGUGCUCAAAUCACGUCGGGGUCA